rnacentral:tRNA from 1 species
GGAGGGAUGGUCGAGUCUGGUUUAAGGCAGCGGUCUUGAAAACCGCCGAGGUUUACGCCUCCGUGGGUUCGAAUCCCACUCCCUCCGCCA